AAAAAGCUCCUGUAGCUCCCCCAUUUCCAACAACCACACCUUCUCCCGCCCCUCUUUCUUCUGCACAUCGACUACCAUCAACAAAUUAAGCAAAACUACAAGUUCUCACUUCCCAGGUUCUGAUUUGUAAAUUGUGGAGGGUUCCGAGUUCGAUUUGUAAACAUAGGCAAUGAUGCGGCUUCUAUUGGAAACUAGGGUUCCGAUUUGAAAAUGAUUUUUCUUAAUCAGUGGAAAUAUCAAUUGAUUCAUCCUUCACAUCUCCAUCCAUCUGCGUUCUGUUUUGGAUUUCGAAGGGCUGCGUUCUGUAAGCUUAUUUUAUUCAAACAGUGAAUCAAAAACAACCUUCACUACUGGGUACUGACUGAAGGUUGCACCAAUCAAACAGGCCCACUUUGGAUUAUUAAAGCUAAAAUCCAGUAUAUCCCUCGAAUCUGUUUCGACGGAGAUUUCGGAUGAGUCGUCCUCUAUUUCUCCGUAUUCUAAAUGAGGUUGUGGCUAACGAGCCAUACUUCGUCCAAAGAAGAGAUAAUAUCGGAAGACUCGGUUUAUCUUCUAUGCAAAAGAUAAUAUCGGAAGACUCGGUUAUAUUAGAUUGUUUUGUGAAUGUUAUGAGUUGGGUUUAGAAAUAUGUUAUGCGAUGUUCAUUAGAAUUAUAUAUGUAUGACUAGAACUUAUUAGCUCAACUUUUGUUAAAUGUGAAGGUUUAUGUUUAUCGA
rnacentral:lncRNA from 1 species